ACGAUGGAUAGGGGUUCUGAGAGGAAGGUCCCCCACAUUGGUACUGAGACACGGACCAAACUCCUACGGGAGGCAGCAGUGAGGAAUAUUGGUCAAUGGCCGAGAGGCUGAACCAGCCAAGUCGCGUGAGGGAUGAAGGUUCUAUGGAUCGUAAACCUCUUUUAUAAGGGAAUAAAGUGCGGGACGUGUCCCGUUUUGUAUGUACCUUAUGAAUAAGGAUCGGCUAACUCCGUGCCAGCAGCCGCGGUAAUACGGAGGAUCCGAGCGUUAUCCGGAUUUAUUGGGUUUAAAGGGUGCGUAGGCGGCCUUUUAAGUCAGCGGUGAAAGUCUGUGGCUCAACCAUAGAAUUGCCGUUGAAACUGGGGGGCUUGAGUAUGUUUGAGGCAGGCGGAAUGCGUGGUGUAGCGGUGAAAUGCAUAGAUAUCACGCAGAACCCCGAUUGCGAAGGCAGCCUGCCAAGCCAUGACUGACGCUGAUGCACGAAAGCGUGGGGAUCAAACAGGAUUAGAUACCCUGGUAGUCCACGCAGUAAACGAUGAUCACUAGCUGUUUGCGAUACACUGUAAGCGGCACAGCGAAAGCGUUAAGUGAUCCACCUGGGGAGUACGCCGGCAACGGUGAAACUCAAAGGAAUUGACGGGGGCCCGCACAAGCGGAGGAACAUGUGGUUUAAUUCGAUGAUACGCGAGGAACCUUACCCGGGUUUGAACGCAUUCGGACCGAGGUGGAAACACCUUUUCUAGCAAUAGCCGUUUGCGAGGUGCUGCAUGGUUGUCGUCAGCUCGUGCCGUGAGGUGUCGGCUUAAGUGCCAUAACGAGCGCAACCCUUGCCACUAGUUACUAACAGGUAAAGCUGAGGACUCUGGUGGGACUGCCAGCGUAAGCUGCGAGGAAGGCGGGGAUGACGUCAAAUCAGCACGGCCCUUACAUCCGGGGCGACACACGUGUUACAAUGGCGUGGACAAAGGGAAGCCACCUGGCGACAGGGAGCGAAUCCCCAAACCACGUCUCAGUUCGGAUCGGAGUCUGCAACCCGACUCCGUGAAGCUGGAUUCGCUAGUAAUCGCGCAUCAGCCAUGGCGCGGUGAAUACGUUCCCGGGCCUUGUACACACCGCCCGUCAAGCCAUGGGAGCCGGGGGUACCUGAAGUCCGUAACCGCGAGGAUCGGCCUAGGGUAAAACUGGUGACUGGGGCUAAGUCGUAACAAGGUAGCCGUACCGGAAGGUGCGGCUGGAACACCUCCUUUCU
rnacentral:rRNA from 1 species